rnacentral:lncRNA from 1 species
CCGUAAACGUAUUCUUAGGCCACAUUCGAUUUGUUUUCAAAAAUCACGUAUUAGGCGGUAUCGAAAUAUAUUUAUCUUGGUGCUUUGGUGUUGGUAUUCUGGGUUUCUAAGCAAAUGACAAGAGGUAAUCAAAGAGAUCUUGCUCGUGCUAAAAAUUUAAAGAAACAACAAGAACUUCAAAAGGCUCAGGCAAUGAAAGAUUAUCCGAAAAGAAAGGAAAGAGAUUCAGAUAUUAUGCGUCAAAAGCAAAAGAUGGCCGAG